UGUUAAAAAUUUAAUCCAUUUAUAUUGUUAAAAAUUGGUGUGAUUGACGGAAUCAUUAGACAGUUACACGCGGCAUGUUAUGUGUACCUUAUUCUAACAUACAGAGACCUAUUUUUAACACUAGAAAUGGAUGAAACUUUUAACA
rfam:Gossypium raimondii Chr08_contig_866, whole genome shotgun sequence.